AACCCAUGGUGAGGGCACCUUCUUAGUAAGUCCUUAUAUCUCUCCCAUGCAUCGUAAAGUGUUUCUAAAUCCAUCUGCACAAAAGAAGAGGUAUCAUUACGUAAUUU
rfam:Gossypium arboreum cultivar AKA8401 contig_22847_3, whole genome shotgun sequence.